ACACUUCUCUGGCAGGGGAGAGACCAUGGUCAAGAACGUAGGGAUACUAGAGCAAGGCUUAUCCAUUGUAUUUGUGAUGUCCUGACAAUUGAAAUUUUUUAAAAAUUUAGUAAGCUCCACUGUGUAAGUUGUGGCUGUGGAGACUAUAUUUAUGCUCUUCC